rnacentral:rRNA from 1 species
AGUAAAUAGAUACCCCGGUAGUCCACGCCGUAAACGAUGUCGACUUGGAGGUUGUGCCCUUGAGGCGUGGCUUCCGGAGCUAAACGCGUUAAAGUCGACCGCCUGGGGAGUACGGCCGCAAGGUUAAAACUCAAAUGAAUUGACGGGGGCCCGCACAAGCGGUGGAGCAUGUGGUUUAAUUCGAUGCAACGCGAAGAACCUUACCUACUCUUGACAUCCAGAGAACUUUCCAGAGAUGGAUUGGUGCCUUCGGGAACUCUGAGACAGGUGCUGCAUGGCUGUCGUCAGCUCGUGUUGUGAAAUGUUGGGUUAAGUCCCGCAACGAGCGCAACCCUUAUCUUUUGUUGCCAGCGGUUAGGCCGGGAACUCAAAGGAGACUGCCAGUGAUAAACUGGAGGAAGGUGGGGAUGACGUCAAGUCAUCAUGGCCCUUACGAGUAGGGCUACACACGUGCUACAAUGGCGCAUACAAAGAGAAGCGACCUCGCGAGAGCAAGCGGACCUCAUAAAGUGCGUCGUAGUCCGGAUUGGAGUCUGC